UGUUAGGAACAGCCACCCCUGGCCAGCCCCGCCUGUGAUUGUGACCUGACAACUCGUGGUUUGUGAAGGUUGUUUGUUUCAGAGGCAUUUCGCCUCUCUGCUUUUGGAACCUCCACGAGUGGACUUUUGUCUUGGGGCUCACAGUAUUUUACCCCCUUCAGGGAGGUGGCUGGUUGUAGUUUAGCAAAACAGCCACUGACAUCGCUGCUCCUUCAGCCUCUGCAGACAGAGCUGCAAGAUCCUCGAGGCCUUUUUAAUCUCCAGAAACAAGGUGUUAAAACAGACCAAAAUGUGUUCUCCCACCCAGAAGCAAGCAAAGCCAACCCCAGCUGCGGUUCCCUGACAGUCCAGUGUAUUCAGCCAAAGGAAAUGGCCCCACAUGGAGAAGGGGAAGCGGAGGCAGGAGGAUGCAACAAGACCUGUUCCCUCCUCUAAUGGCACUCGUAGGACAGCCCAGCCACACAUUCAAAGAAUCUUGAAGGAAUAGGAUGGUUGAUAUGGUUGGUGUGGAAGAUGGUUCAUAAAUUCUGGAUUUAGCUUUGAGGGAUUCAGCCGACCUGAAAUUUAUAUCUGUGCAGGUAGGUGGUUGCUGGGUAGGGUGACCACUACUGUCUAUCUCCAUCACCCAGGGCUGUUUUCAGCUCAAAGCCACAGAAGCCCAGGCACGGUGGCAUCUCCGGGGAGGGGAAGUUGCCUUAUUCCAGAUUCACAGGUCCGGGGCGAAGGGGCCAGGCAGGGCAGGUGUGGGGCCACAGGAUAUCGCCCUGGGCCUGGCUCCUUCUGCCUUUCUGCCACCAUCUUCAGCUGGUGCCAUUACCUCGAGGCCUCCUGUGGUUGCUGGUGCUGCCACGCUCGGCCUCCUGUCUGCCUCCAGAUGGGAGAGGAGGAAGGAGGAGGUGAGAGCAGGAAAGAGCUUACAUAAAAGAUCACAUUUUCCCAGAAUCCCCAGCAGCUGCCUGUUCUCCCCCUCCUCUGGGCUAGAGCUGUGUCACACAGGCUGAGUGGCCAGGAAGCUGGGCACCAUCCAGGGAGUGUGUGAUCGUCGGGGUCCUGUUGAUUCCUGCUUUUGAGUAAUGAAGGCGGCCAAACCACAUGACCCUGCCUGCAAAGAUUCCACCUGGACUCCCAGUUCCUCCAAGGAACCGUCAUGUGGUUCAAAUCCAAUGAAAUUCUCUAAAUCUCCACCCUCCUCAGGGUGCAGAGUUGGCUGCUUUUCUGUGCCCCCCGCUGAUCACGGCAAUCCCUGGGUGCCUCGGCCUGCGAAGCCCCAGCUGUCCUCCGUCUGCAGACAAGCCGAGCUAUGAAAGCCUCCUCGCUGGCCCAGGAGCCUGUCAUUGUCCUCCAGCAGCUCUAGCCUGGA